CGAUUUUUACACAGAGCAAAAGAGGGUUCUUCUCUUGAACCCUAAAUCACAAAAAUUCAACAAAUCAAAAGAGAAAUCGAGCCGGGAAAUUGGGGCUUUUAAUAAAAUCUUGAUCACCAAGCUUAGGGAAUCACAAGGUGGAAGCUUGGAAAGGAAGCGUGUCAAACGGAUCAAAUACGCGGGAAGGGCAUAAUCAGAUGCAAGGUAAGUAAAGCUUACACCCUCUUUUGUAGAAUGCCUAAUUAUUAUAAGGGUUAUGAAUAUGAUAAACUAAUAAUUAAAAUGUGAUGUUCCGACGUAAUUUGAUACGGGUCGGAACAAGUAAAAACGACGAAAAACGAUGAACAAUGGUAAAAAGGGGUAAAAUGGUAAUCUAGUCGUGUGUCGACAAACGUACA